AGUCACUGACAUUAGAUACCCGGGUAGUCCCAGCCGUAAACUAUGCGCGUUAGGUGUACUGGUGACCACGAGUCACCGGGUGCCGAAGGGAAACCGUGAAACGUGCCGCCUGGGAAGUACGGUUGCAAGGCUGAACUUAAAGGAAUUGGCGGGGAGCACCGCAACGGGAGGAGCGUGCGGUUUAAUUGGAUUCAACACCGGAAAACUCACCAAGGGCGACUGUUACAUGAAAGCCAGGCUAAUGACCUUGCUUGAUUUUCAG
rnacentral:rRNA from 1 species